CUACGGGAGGCUCCAGUGAGGAAUAUUGCACAAUGGGGGGAACCCUGAUGCAGCAACGCCGCGUGGAGGAUGACGCAUUUCGGUGUGUAAACUCCUUUUAUAUGUCAAGAAAAUGACGGUAGCAUAUGAAUAAGCACCGGCUAACUCCGUGCCAGCAGCCGCGGUAAUACGGAGGGUGCAAGCGUUACUCGGAAUCACUGGGCGUAAGGGACGCGUAGGCGGGUUGGAAAGUCAGGUGUGAAAUCCUACAGCUUAACUGUAGAACUGCACUUGAAACUUCUAAUCUAGAGUAUGGGAGGGGGAGAUGGAAUUAGUGGUGUAGGGGUAAAAUCCGUAGAUAUCACUAGGAAUACCUAAAGCGAAGGCGAUCUCCUGGAACAUUACUGACGCUAAGGCGUGAAAGCGUGGGGAGCAAACAGGAUUAAAUACCCUGGUAGUC
rnacentral:rRNA from 1 species